rnacentral:lncRNA from 1 species
ACAUUUUGAAUUACAAUACAAAAAGGAGUUAUAAUCACUCAACGAGACUUGAAGAUAGCAAAUUACACUAUGUUAAAUUCUUAAAGCCUUAAAUCUAUACAAACUACAUAUAUUUUAAACACACAAAGUUCAAUGAAAAGAUAAUGAUAGCAACAAGGCUAACAUUUAACAUAUGACCACAAUGUUAUAGAGUUAUCCUUGCAUUACAUGAAAAGUUUAACAUUUGAUGAUCCAAAUACAUGAAGAAAAAAGAGGAAAAUCUGUCGACAAUAAAGCAUGUUCCUUUUAUAUUAAUGGCUUGGUCUUUGACAAUUAUGGUUAUGACCUUCAAGGAUUGUUUCUUGUAGAGGACCAAAUCGAUGGCUUGCUAAGGACUCGCAGUUUUGUUUUUGUUUUGUUUUUUUGUUUUUCUUUUCAACUACAGGAGCCAUUUAAAUAAUUUUGUCAAUAAAAAAGAAAAUAUCUAACAUGGAUAAAGACCUUUCAAAAAUGGAAUAGACAAUCAAAUGGAAUAUCCAAUAGUUAACAUUUCACAAGAAAAUUACCUUUAGAUAGAUCAGGCUUGUCACUAAAUUUUACUAAAUAAAAAUCUUUUGGCAAAAACCUUCUCCUAUCGUUAAUUUUUUUCAAAAGUUUUUACUUAAUAAAAAUCUUUUUGUUUAUAUCUUUGUAAACAUUUACAAUUAUGUCUAUAUCUAAAACUUAAAAUUAUAUGUAUAUCCUUAUAAAAUCUAUAAACACACGUAUACUUCCAUGUACAUAAUUUGAUAUUUAAUCUAUUUAAAAAUUUAAAACAUUAUUCUUAAAUUAGAUUAUAAGUAAAUUACUAAUUAAAAUACUCAUUGAAAUCCUUCCCAUAACCCACAUUCUUAUUCACGAUAUGGUUAUUUUUGACAUUAUAGUAUUUUGCUAAUCAAUUAGGAAUAUGAAACCACCAUGUUUUGUUAAUCAAAUUUACAAUCACCAUGUUUUACUUCGGUUUUGCUAAUCGAAUAUGCAAUCAUCAAGUUUUACCUCUAUAAUCAAUUAUGGAUAUGCCAGAGUUUGCAAAUUGAUUGUACAGAAUAUGAUGCAACAAAGAAUCGGGUCAAGAAUAAUCGUAUCGUGAAUAAGAAGAUUGAUUAUAGGAAAGAUUGCAAAUGAAUAUUUUAGUAAUUGAGUUAUAAUCUAAUUUAAAUAUUUUAUUUAAUUUUUAUAUAGAUUAAUUAUUAUUAAAUUUAGUAUUUGGGUAUGUGUAUGCGUGUUAUAUGUUUUAUAAGGAUAUAGAUGUAAUUUGAACUUUUAAAAAUACAGGAUUAAUUAUAAAAGUUUACGAAGAUAUAAAUAAAAUUUUCCCUAAAUGAAAUAACUAAAAAGUCAGGGAAUAAUAAAUGAUUUGAAUGAAUUUUUUUUUAAAGCUAUCAUCUAACUAGAUGCCUAACAAGUUUACCGAAUAAUAGUAUAGAGAUGAGCAUCGGUCCAUACCCAAACCGAGAACCGGGAACCGGACCGUAUACCCCGAUUUUGGUUCUAAUAGGUUCAGUUCUAAGUGGCAAAGUCAGGUUCAAAGUAAAGGGGUAUCCCAAACUGGGUUCGGUUUCUUGGUUUUCCAAACUCGGUUUCGGGUUUAAACCCAAACUCAUUCAAAAGUUUAACUUGUUGAGAGUUAAGAAGCUUGUGUUGCUUAUAUAACAAAUAUAUAUAAGCUAUGUUUCAUGUUAUGGCUGAUGUGGGAUAUUUUAAAAUUUUAAAAAACAAGUUGAAAAACUAAUAAACAAAAUAAAAUACACCAAUGUAUCAAUCAAGAUUCGAAAUAGAGACCUCAAACUUAAAAGUUCAACAUUUUACCUCUUGAAUAACUCAAUACUUGUGUUUAAUUUUCAAAACAUCAUAAUAUAAUAGGUAUAAUCUAUAUAAAGCUAUAUAUGCAAAAAUUAAAGAAAAUAAAUGUUUGCAAGAAGAUUUGAACUUGCAACCUCCAAAAAAAUCUCUUAAGGCCUUAACCAUCCAAACCAACUACAUCUUGUGUUAUUAUCUUGUUAAACAUAUUAAUAUUAUGUAUAUGUAUACUACAUAAAACAAAAUUUCUCUAAAAAAAUUAUAUUACCAAAUUUUUUUUGAGGGGAUUUUUUGUGGAUCCAUCCAUAUCAGUUCUACUAGUAAGUGUGCUAUUUAGAGACGUGUUUGGUUUUGGUCUGGCUCGAACCGGAUCGAGAACCGAAUAACUGAACUGGUUUAGUUGGAAAUGGAGAAUCCCAAGAACCAAGAACCAAGAACCAAGAACCGGGAUACCCGGUUCCGAUCCCGGGUUUUUUCCGUUCCAGGCUGGUUCCGCCGGGUCAAAUGCGCACUAUAGUAACUUGGAUUGCCAGAUUCUUUGAUUUUGAUUCUAUGUAUCAAAUACUUAAUCAUUAUAAAAUCUUGCUUUUUCCUGAAAAACAUUAGGCCUUUUAGAAUUUAAGUGUUGUUUUGUAAUAGCUAACAUGGUGAGUUUUAUGGCUAACAAUCCUUGGUUUUAACAUUAGUUAUUAGUCAUUAUCUAAGAUAUUUAUUUAUACAUGUGUGUAUCCUUAUCUAACGAAAGUAGAUGAAUACAGAGUACAAUAAUAAAUGACUGAUAAAUUUUUAUCAAGUUUAUUUCUAUCGAUUUAAAAAGGUGCGUUUCCUUUAGUAAAUGCAUGAAAUUUGAAUGUUAAUUAAUUUUACUUAUCUAUAUAAACAAAAAAAAGGUGAUUGUUUACACCGAAGAAAAUAGAUCUCAAUGGAGUACCUUCCCUUCAAGAUUGCACUCUUGACCAUCUUCUUGUUUUCUGCUUCAGGCAAAUCUCUCUCUCUCUCUCUCUCUCUCUCUCUCUCUCUCUCUCUCUCAUGUGUUUAUGCAUGUAUGUAUUAUAGGGCUAAAC